rnacentral:rRNA from 1 species
GGGCAAUUGCGGGCGUGCCUAUACUGCAAGUCGAACGAACUUCCGUUAAUUGAUUAUGACGUGCUUGCACUGAAUGAGAUUUUAACACGAAGUGAGUGGCGGACGGGUGAGUAACACGUGGGUAACCUGCCCAGAAGCAGGGGAUAACACCUGAGAAACAGAUGCUAAUACCGUUAUAACAGAGAAAACCGCCUGGUUUUUCUUUUAAAAGAUGGCUCUGCUAUCACUUCUGGAUGGACCCGCGGCGCAUUAGCUAGUUGGUGAGGUAACGGCUCACCAAGGCGAUGAUGCGUAGCCGACCUGAGAGGGUAAUCGGCCACAUUGGGACUGAGACACGGCCCAGACUCCUACGGGAGGCAGCAGUAGGGAAUCUUCCACAAUGGACGCAAGUCUGAUGGAGCAACGCCGCGUGAGUGAAGAAGGGUUUCGGCUCGUAAAGCUCUGUUGUUAAAGAAGAACGUGGGUGAGAGUAACUGUUCACCCAGUGACGGUAUUUAACCAGAAAGCCACGGCUAACUACGUGCCAGCAGCCGCGGUAAUACGUAGGUGGCAAGCGUUAUCCGGAUUUAUUGGGCGUAAAGCGAGCGCAGGCGGUCUUUUAAGUCUAAUGUGAAAGCCUUCGGCUCAACCGAAGAAGUGCAUUGGAAACUGGGAGACUUGAGUGCAGAAGAGGACAGUGGAACUCCAUGUGUAGCGGUGAAAUGCGUAGAUAUAUGGAAGAACACCAGUGGCGAAGGCGGCUGUCUGGUCUGUAACUGACGCUGAGGCUCGAAAGCAUGGGUAGCGAACAGGAUUAGAUA